rnacentral:rRNA from 1 species
UACGUAGGUGGCAAGCGUUGUCCGGAUUUACUGGGCGUAAAGAGCGCGCAGGCGGUCGUUCAAGUCGCGUGUGAAAGCCCCCGGCUCAACUGGGGAGGGUCACGCGAUACUGAUCGACUCGAAAGGCAGGAGAGGGAAGUGGAAUUCCCGGUGUAGUGGUGAAAUGCGUAGAUAUCGGGAGGAACACCAGUGGCGAAGGCGACUUCCUGGCCUGUUCUUGACGCUGAGGCGCGAAAGCUAGGGGAGCAAACGGGG